rfam:Triticum aestivum genome assembly, contig: Triticum_aestivum_CS42_TGACv1_scaffold_543083_6DS
AUAUCUUUCUCGGCCUUUUCGCUAAGAUCAAGUGUAGUAUCUGUUCUUAUCAGUUUAAUAUUUGAUAUGUGAACUACAUGUCCACAAUGAUAUAUUAAAUUUAUUUUUUAUGAGGGAGGGUCCACCACACUAGCUUGCUAGUGGGGCCCUCAUGUGUCUCCUAGGCGUUGCACUAUUGCCUAGGCUGGCGCACCUCAA